CAAACCUUGAAAGCAAUGCUCCAAAUCUGCAGUUUUGAGCUUUGCCAGCAUCAAAGAGGCUACAAACAACUUUUCUAAUGCAAACAAUCUAGCUUUGAAAACAUUGAUUAGAAUAUUACUAAUUUGUCAUUAAUAAAUAAAUGCAGACCCUUGUAAACAAAUUCUUUUGGAUUGGACAAAACGUGUUCAAAUCAUAGUAGGGAUUAUCCAAGGGCUUUUGUAUCUCCAAUAAUAUUCGAGAUUGACUGUUAUUCAUCGAGACCUGAAACUUAGGAAUAUGUUAUUGGAUGAAAAUAUGAAGUCUAAAAUAUCAGAUUUUGGUAUAGCCAAAAUGCUUGUGGAAAAUUAUCAUCAAACAGAACGAAUUGUUGGAACAUGUGGUUAUAUCCCUCAAAGAGACAUAUAUUCAACUAAACUUGAUAUCUAUAGUUUUGGGGGUCUACUUUUACAAAUCAUAAGUGGAAAAAAGGUUUCAUGUUUAUAUGUCCGCAGAAGACUUGAGCCUUCUAAAGCAUGCAUAUGAGUUGUGGAAAGAUGAUAAAAGCCUGGAGUUUAUAGAUCCAUCAUUAGAUAUACACAAUCCUUUUGUAAAUUAAUAAGAUGCUUGCAAAUAGUUCUAUUAUAUGUCCAAGAAAACCGAAAUGUUGGACCAUCCAGGAUGCUCAAAACUGGAUCCGCAAAUACAGUAAUCAGCCCCAAGAAGCCUGCUUUCUUAGAACAAAGUGAUGAAAAGAAAAUGACUAAAAGUUCAGAAUUAAUUUCGGUUGAUGAUGCAACAAUUUCUGAAGAGGUGGCAAGAUGACUCUAGGCUUUUGCAAGACCAAUAUUAGGUGGUCAGAUGUUUUCAUUUUAAUAAUUUACUUUAAGCUUACUUUAGCUCAGAACAAAGAAGCAACAACAAAGAGCCGUCUAAGAAAAAAAA